CAUCGCCUCUGCCCCCCACUCUCCCCACCCCCGGCAGAACUGUAGGGACUGGUCCUUGCUCUGCCUCAACUUUCCCUGCUGCGCCUGCCCCACGCGGCACCCGAUCCGCCGCGCCCUCGCUGGGCGCCCUCCAGAGGGACACGUCCUCCUCUGGGCCCCUUACCUCGCACCGACAACUCCGGGCAGGGACUGGAGCUGACCGAGGUGGCGGCGGCGGCGGCGGCUGAGCCUGCACCCGGGCUCGCUCUCAUGGUUGGUGCUCCUCAUCCGACACAAAAGAGGUAGCUUGCUGGCUUUGUCCUUUCCAAAUCCCAGGGAGAACUUAUUUUGCCCCCGAAAUGGCCAACUUGUGUGCGCCGCUUCCUGUCACAGUGCCCUCUGCCCCCGCCCCCUCCCGGCUGCUCGCUGGACCACGGCCCGGUGGCAGAGCAUCCAGGCCUCCGAGUCAGUGAGGAGUGGGGAAAGGGAGAGGGGGAGGAGAAGUGAGGGGGGAGGUUGGGAAAAGGGGGCACCCAGUGGUCUUCCGCGGAAGAGAGGAGGGCAGUUCACAGCUGAAUCUUUCUCCUCUUUACAGGCAAAGCCACUUAGGGCGCGGAAGCAACUUUCCUUCACCUUGGCCAGGCUGAAACCAUCGCAUCUAAUUGGGACUCUCGGCAGAGGCACGGACCUUCUGGCAUUCUCUCCUCAUUCUCUCUUUCUCCUUUUCUCCCUCUCUCGUUCUCCUUUUCCCUUUUCCCCUCCCCCUCCCUCCCUCCCUUUAUAGGGGUGUAUCCGCAGAGUCUUCAGUGAGCCAGGGUACCUAGACGAGAGGAUUAUUAUACAGAAAGGCAGGGCGGUUUUACUGGCUGCUUCGUCUCACUCUGUUGAAAUCCUUAGGCAACGCAUGCAAAGGACCCUUUCCGGUUAAUGCCCUGACUUCUGGUAUAAUGCCUUUUCAUUUUGGCCCAUAAAGCACACCAUCCUUCAUUCAGAAAUAACACCGAGAGUUGAUGUGUUGCCAUCAUUAAUUACAGCAGAAAAAUACAAAAUGCAGGAGGUUCUGUGUUGAUUGGUCUCCCAGAAGGCUGAAAGAAAAGGAGGCUGCACUCCCACAUAUGACAGUGAAGGGAGAAAUUUUUAUUUGGGAAGAAUCUGAAUGUCAACGCACCAGCCUUGAAUAAUACCUAAGGGGAUAGAGAAGAACAAGCCCCACAGGCAAGAUAUGUAGGGGCAAUGGUGAGAAAAGAAUCAAAUUGUUUUUGUGGUGCUUUAUUAGCCUCAUUUAUUAGGUGUAUAAAUGUUCUGAUCAGUACUUUGGAUUCUUUUGCGUUUUUUCCCCUGAUUCUUACAAAGGAAAACAAAAAAGAAUAGCCCUUGGAUAUUUACUAUGUGUUUUGCUUUUGUCCCACAUAUUGUACAAUGAACAGCUG
rnacentral:lncRNA from 1 species